UUGCUUGUUAGUGUUUAUUUUAACAUUAAUUUAUAUGUAAAAUUUUUUUAGUUAAAUUUUCUUAAAGAAUUUUAAUUUAUUGGCAGUAGAUAGUAUUAUUGAUAUUAAGGUAAUUUAGAUUUGGUAAAUGUUAAUAGAUUUGGUGAAUGUUGUGCCAGCAGCCGCGGUUAUACAGCAAAAUCAAAUGAACAUUAUUGGCUUUAAAAUAAUUAGUAUAUAUAUAUAAUAUGAAUUGAGAUAUUAUAAAGUGAAAUUUUAAUAUUUUUAGGAUUAUUUAUGUAGUAUGAUUAUUAUGAAAUUAAAAACAUAAACUAGGAUUAGAUACCCUAUUAUUUUUAUUGUAAAAAAUUAAGUCAGAGUAUUAAUAGAUAUAAUCUUUAAACUUAAAGAAUUUGGCGGUAUUAUAGUCUAUUUAGAGGAAUCUGUUAUGUAAUCGAUAGUCCACGAAGAACCUUACUUAUAUUAAUUCUUGUAUACCGCUGUCUAAGAAUAUACUUUUAGGUAAAAUUUUCGAGAUUUAAUAAUAAUUAAGAUUUCAAGUCAAGGUGCAGUUAAUAUAUAAGUUGAAUAAUGGAUUACAAUAAAAUGUAUUUAUUAUGGAUAAUUAUGUUAAACAAGUAAUUUGAAGGUGGAUUUAAUUGUAAUUUUAUAAAGAUUAUUAAAAUGAUUUUAGCUCUAUAAUAUGUACACAUCGCCCGUCACUCUCGUUAGUUAAGAUGAGAUAAGUCGUAACAAAGUAGGUGUAUCGGAAGGUGUACCUAGAAAGGAA
rnacentral:ncRNA from 1 species